ACCACGACAAUACAUUGAAACUAAAACCCAUAACUAACACAUAGCAAAAGCAACCCAACUACACAAAGGCAGAAAACGAUUCAGCGCAACAUACCUUCCCACAUAGCAAAAAACAAUAACCUGGAUAUAUCGAAGCUGCCCUCAGCCCGCUCUACGAUACUCUCCACUUUCAAAACCCAAGACACCAAGUCUUGUCUCGAUCUGGAUCUAUCGAUGCCGCCUAUGGCCAGCUAAACGAUACCAUCCCCAACUAGUAACCCAUAUUAGUCUAAGGUAGAUAUAUAUUUCUUUUCAAUGUAAAAUCACUAAUUCCAUGUAUGCACUACAGGAAAUGUGAGUAUUAAUAGCAUCAUAUUAUAGCGUUUUUGACAAUUCUGCUAUCGUAUACUAAAACUUGAUUUUUUAAUAGCGUUUGUCAAUUUAAAAGGCUAUAUUUAUUAUCGAUGGAAAAUAAUAAAUUUUAACCGCCUUAAUUUGCUAAAUGUAGGCUCCAACAAUUAGAAGAAAAAACAAAAUUUACCCCCAAAACACUUAUCACAUUCACUGGGAGAUUAACUCCAUAUACCCCAUACCCGCUUAAAUGAAUUCUUACUGCCCCCUCUCUAUUCUUCCUACCCUUUUAUCCUUGCACUCCCCAAACUAGUCUUUCAUUUAUUCUCCAAUUAAAUAA
rnacentral:lncRNA from 1 species